AGCAGCCGCGGUAAUUCCAGCUCCAAUAGCGUAUAUUAAAGUUGUUGCAGUUAAAAAGCUCGUAGUUGAAUUUCGAGACCGGUUUACUGGUCGUGCUUUUGUACGUACUGGUAUUAUUGGUUUCUCCUUUCUGACGAACUAUAAUGCCAUUAAUUUGGUGUUUUAGGGAAUCAGGACUGUUACUUUGAAAAAUUAGAGUGUUUAAAGCAGGCUCACGCUUGAAUACAUUAGCAUGGAAUAACGGAAUAGGACGUUUGAUUCUAUUUUGUUGGUUUCUAGGAUCGACGUAAUGAUUAAUAGGGAUAGUUGGGGGCAUUAGUAUUCAAUUGUCAGAGGUGAAAUUCUUGGAUUUAUUGAAGACUAACUACUGCGAAAGCAUUUGCCAAGGAUGUUUUCAUUAAUCAAGAACGAAAGUUAGGGGAUCGAAGACGAUCAGAUACCGUCGUAGUC
rnacentral:rRNA from 1 species